UCUUAUGGAUGAGCAAAGAAAGUGGUUUCUUGAGAUGAAAUCUAUUUCCAGUGAAGAUGUUGUGAA
rnacentral:pre_miRNA from 1 species